rnacentral:tRNA from 1 species
GGGCUUGUAACUCAGCUUGGUAGUCAGUAUCGGGCUUUUAACCCGAGAGUCGUGGGUUCGAAACUUUUUGCGCACGUCCGCGCAAAAACUUUCAUGAAAAGUACGCUGCCGCCGGUGCGCGUGCGCGGAUUUUUCAGGCGGGUUUUUGCGCGUCGAGCGGAUGUGAUUGGCGCAAAAAGCUGCAAUCCCACCAGGCCCGCCA